UCAGCAGGCUCAAAUUUCUUAAAAAACAUUGCACAUAUUGCAUGGGAGCAUGGUAGUCCUUUGAGCUGCCAUGAUCUACAUAUGCAUGUAUUGUUGGAGAAGUCAACAAUAUGUUUGUACACUCCAUGUUGUAUCUCAUACCCAGCAUCCCAUUCCAUUUAUAUUCAUGCUUAACAACAUAUUGAGAUUGUUCUUCUAUGUACCCCAUUGCCAUAGAAGAUACAUCAGAAAUCUACCUUGCUGCAAAUUCUCUCAUUCCAG
rnacentral:lncRNA from 1 species